CCAAAGGAAGAACAAAGGAAGAAAAGAAAGAACAAGAACCCUAGAGUGAAAAUUUAAGAGAAAAUUUGUGGAUUUCAAGUAAUCAAGCAAUCAAAGGUAAAAUUUCUUGAUUUUGACUUGUGAUCUACCUUUCCUUUGCAUUCUUUUGCAUUUUCCAUGGUUGAAUCACAUGGUUUCAUGAUGGGUCCCUUGCUGGCCGGACAUGGGGGGAGGAGUUUUGAUGCUUGAUUUGGUUAGAUUUUAAGAUAUUUUAGUGUUUUUAGUUAGUUAGUGAUGUGUAGCAAGAAAAACCAACAAGAAAAAUUCAUUUUCUCCCAUUACCCAUCAUUUGCUGAAUUCUCCAUGUGGAAUACUGAUGAUGAUUUUGAUUUUAUUUCAAGUGAAUUGAUGACGAAAUGAUGAAUUAUGGUGAGAAAAUCGAGUAGGAAAACUCAUAGUGUUGAUGCACCCACCAUGGCCAAAAUUUCCAAGAGAAAAUGUGAAGAUAAUUUUGCUAAAUUUUAUGUUAUUUGACUUGUGCUUGAUGGUUUGGAGAAUUGGAAGAAAAAUGGAGUUAAUUGGAGUUGAAUUGGACAUAUUGGCCAAUUAAUUGAGUGAUAGAUCGAAUUAGGCCAAUACUGUUUUAUUCAGAUACACAAUUGAAUUUGUGUAGAACACCGUAUUUAAACGAUAAUCCAAACAAUUUGCAUUCCAUUUCAUGCAUCCAUAUAAUUUUAUAACGAUUUAACACCAAUGUGGUAAAUUGCUUGAUUUUGCAUUAUGUCUAGGUGGUGAAUCCUUUGAUAAAGGCAAAGAAAUUGUACCCAAGGAUCGAUAGUUGGAGUACUCUAAAAAUUCGACUUCCAAAAUAGUGAGUAACCUUGUCAUCAUUUUAAUUAUCUAAAGUAUGUUUUAUUCGAUUUUUGUGAAUUUUAUAGAAAAUGAGUUUAAAUGGUUAAUUUUUAGGCUUUAUAAACAAAAUGUGAUUUAAUGAAAAGAUUUUAUAAAUUGUCUUGAAAUUGAAUGAUGGAUUUGAAAAUAGAGUAACUGGAGACCACUUGAUGUGUUGUAAAUUUAUAGUUCUAAUUGAUGGCUUAUGAUAAUGUGUUGGCAUGACUGGUUGGAAUUGUGGUUUGUGAACUGUAUGAAUUAUUAUGUUUUACAUUUUCAGACUGGGUAGUAUAAUAUUAGUCAUGUCAUACUGUCAAAAUUUUAUUGUAUGGUGGGUUUAGCUUGCUGCAGUGGGUGGGUUCUGUGGAUCAGCCUAUUAGAGGGGCACAAAAUCCGGUUAUAUAUGUACCUCAGUCGGAGAGGCACGUAGGGUAUCUCAUAAGGUAUGGUUAGAGUUCACGUCACGCCGAACCACCUCGUGAUGAUGAACUCCGUUAAUGCCAAGGAACGGCUAUGUUUCUCAAAUUAAAAAUAUAUUUAUGUGUACACGAAAUUUUUAACAGCCCUGACAGACUCGAUUAAAUGCCUCGGCCAAGGUAUUCCCGAGAAUGAUUUUGGCAGGAGCCAAGCUUUUAAGAUACUCAUAAGUCAUGUUGAUUAUUUAAAUGAAAUGAAUAUUUAUGUUAUGAAAUACAUAUUGAGAUGGAAUAUUUUAAUCGUCUCCAUUUACUCGACUUUAGAUAUUUUGGAUGAUGUGUGUUUACUCACUGGGAUUAUAUAAUCUCACCACCCUCAUUUUCACCCAUUUCAAGCUCAGAAUAGGCUGUAGAUAGCUGAUUCCAUCGAGGCUACUAUUGGAUUUGCAUCCUCUAAACUGUAGGUUUAUAGUCUCCCUUACUUUUGGUUAUUCGGGGGCCCACUGGUUAUUGUAAAUUAAAUUAAAUACUCUAGCUUACUGUAUUACAGUAUGUAUGAACUUAUUUUAUUUUUACGCUGCAAAAAUUAUUUACGUAUCACUCUAAAAAUAGUGUUUAAUAAGAAAAUAGAAUAUUUUAUUGAAUAUUUUUUUUUAUUUUUUUAUAUAUAUAUUUAAAUAAUCAUACUUUAAUUCUAAAUAAAGGUUUUAGAUGUUUAAACUUAUUUUUUAUUAUGAAUUAUGUGUUUUGUACUUGCAUACUACAAUUUUAACGGAUUUCAAAAUUUUUAGAAAAAAAUUACCAAAAUGCCCUUGUGAGAUAGAAAUCAUUUUUUAUUGUUAAGUUGGAAAUAACUUAAAAUCUUUUAGAACAUGAUAUUUAGCAACGGUUACUCACAUGGGGAAUGAGAAACUGAUAUUAAAUCCUUGCGAGGUUCCGGUUGGCAUUUCGGGUGAUGAGUGUCUAUCGGGACACCGCGACGGUUGUCGCGGGCCCGAGGGGAGUAUCGGGUCGUGACAACAUGCCACAAGAGAAAGUAACUAGAAUUGAAGACUUUUGUUUGGAAAUAAGUCAUCUUAGAGAAAAGUCUAUACCACAGCAAACUAAAAAUGAACCUCCACUAUAAAACGCUGAAAAGGAACCUACUCCACAAGAGACUAAAGAGGAACCUACAACAGAAGAAGUUGCACAAGUUGAGCAAGAAACUAAACCUAAACAAGUAGACAUUGAAGCAGAAGAAUAACUAUUGCAAACUACAGAUGAGGAAAUUAGAUAAAAAAAACCAUGGCAACUUAAACCUGACAUCCAUUACCUCCUAUGGCAUCCUACCCCAUGAGCUUUAUCCAAUCUUUAGCCCUUAGUUUCAUUUAAAUCUAGUCUUCAAGGGGAGUUCCUUUUUUGGAUGAUGCCAAAAAGGGGGAAAAGAAAGUGGAUAGCUAGAUGUUGAGCUAGAUCUUUAUGUUGAACUUAUAUGUGUGAUGUUUAGCUAGCUUGAACAAUUAUGUGUUGGAUAUUUUAGUUUGGUUAUUAUGUUGAAUAUUUUAGGUUGGUUUGUAUGGAUGGUUGUUGUGGACACUGCAAAUGUUAUUAUGAUUUAUGGAUAUUGAAAAUCUUGUUAUAUUUUUGUUUAUUGUGUAUAUUGAAUAUUUUGGGGUUAUUGUGGCUAUUAUGAAUAUUAAACAAAGAAAAAUCUUGUAAAUUCUUUUAAAAAUGCAGAUGCAUUAACUAAAGGGAAGCAAUCCUUAUUUUGCAUAGUGAUUUAAAAUAUUCAUAUUGAACAUAGUUAAGACAUUGCAAUCUUAAAUCAAGGAGUAUUUUGUCACCAUAAAAAAAAGAGAGAGAUUGUUGACUCAAUAUGUUUUUUAUGAUAACAAAAUAUUCCUCGUUCUUUAAUGUUUAUGAAACACCCUACACUUUGCUAUGUUGACUAAUAGAACUUAUCGGAUACCAAUUGAGGUUAAUUAGAGUGUUUAAGAGUGAUGGAGGGUGGAGGGUGGAGGGAAUAUUCUAGAGUAAAAUAUUUCGCACACGAGGAAAUAGUAAUUAAGUAAUAAUAUUUUUAUCGAGGAUGAAUUAACGAUAUAAAAAGUGAUUCAGAAGUGAAUUGGGGCAUAAUAAGACAUUUUGGGUGCCAAGGAGACAAGUGAAAAAUUUUAGAAUAAAAUAAUAUUAAAAUAUUAAUAUUUUAUUCAGUAUCUAAAUUUUUCAUGAAGAAAGAAUAUAUGGUCAAUCUAAGUGGGGAAAAAGAAGAACGAGAAAAUAUCGAAGAAAAAUGACGUUAAUGGGGCUUGCGUGUCUUUAUUAAAUAAAAUUGGCGUAGGUAAGUAAAUAUUUAAAUAUUACGGUGAUACUGCGUUGAAAUAUAAACUUGAUAUUUUAUUGAUACAAGUGUUAAGGAAGAAAAAAUGAAAAAAAAUUGGAAUUAAAAGAUUGUGGGAGGAUAUAAUUAAAAAGUGUGAAAACCUUAUAAGGCAAAAUGGUAAUUUUGCCAUUAGUUUGGUCUUAUCCCAUGGCUGGUUCUUAUCUCUAACCAUAAGAUAUUUUCUUCUCCUCCUCCAUGCUCCCAUGCCAUUUUCAAGCUCCUACACCAUUUCACCUUGCCACCAUGCAUUUGAAAAGAAAAAUGGCUUUGUUUUGCAAGGAAAACUAUACUCUUGGAAAGAAAAUAAAUGAGAUUAGUUGGACGAAAGAAGAAAGGAAAGAAAGAAAGGAGAAAGAAAAAGAGAGAAAGGAAAAAAAAGCUUGGAUUUGGUGAUUUAAGCAAGGAAAGGUAAGGAUUCAUGUUCUUAGCUUGAGUAAUCUUUGAAAAUGAGUUAGUGACUAAGAGAAAUGUCUUGUGGCAACAAAGAUUGGCUUGAUUAGAGAAAAAUUGGUGACAUACAAGCCAAUAAACCCGUGGGUACAUGAUGGACUCAAGGUUGAAAAGGAAAGCGGUAAGCUUAACACUAUGUUUAAAGCCUACGAUUAGUUGAAUAUUGUGAGGAAUUAUGGUUGUUGAAAGAAUCUAUUUGCAUAAGCUAGUUGAAAAUUGUUAAGUUUGUAUGGCAUGUUGUUUGAGAGAAAUGAAAAAGCAUGGAGGAUUGAAUAGAAAAGUAUUGAAAGUUAGAUAGAUAAUGAUACAUGUAAACUUGGAAAUAAUUGAGUGAAAGUGAGAAUGAUUGUUGCUGCCAUAUAUGUGGUUUAUGUGUGAAAAUAUAAGACGAAUUUGAAUGAAAAUGGUUGAAAAGAAGGUUAAUAUGGGUGCUAGAGUCAUAAAUAAGUUACCGGUAAUUAUAAUUUAAAGAGUUACGCAAGCAAAGGAUAAAGGCAACAUUGGUAAAAAUGUGUCAAGAUAUAUAUGAAUAUGCAAGGUUAAGUGAGGAAAAGUGGUGAUUUUAACAUAGUAUGAGUUAUUAACAUGAUGGUAAUGCUUGAAUAAGGAGGAAAAUGGGAGUGAUAAGCACUAAGAUUAUUAGAUUUGGUUUAUUGUUAGGAAAGUUUACCGUGGUGGCGUACCGGGUGAGGUAACAAGUGACCAGCAAGUAGAAAUAGCGAGAUACGCACCCGAAUCAAUAGCGAUGAAGCAUCUUGCUAUUGUAAGGUGAGUAGGGGGUGCCUAUUUCAAAAAUUUUCAUAGCUAUAUAAUGUUAUACAUUUUAUAAACGUUGCCAGAUUUCUUUAAAUGCAAUUGUGGAAAGCAUAGCUGUUAGGCUCGAUAGGCGAUUUCUAAAUGGAUUUAUAAUGAUUUAUACACUGUUAUUAUGGAAAGCAUGGGCUGGUAGGACUUGUAGUAAAUUGUGGAUGCAAGUUGUUUUGAAAUUUGUUUUGGAUAUAUCUAUAGAUGAGCUAUAUACGUAAAGUGUUUUAGAAAUCGAGAAACAAACCCUUUUAUACUGUUUUGCAUUCAAAAUCUGUGCCUUGUAUUUUUGUGUGAUAUGCAUCGUUUAAAUGAAAUAGUUAAAUGAUUUAAAAUGCAAGAUUUGAGCACUAGUUUUAGUUCGAUCUUUGUAUCAGAGAAUACACCAUGCCUUUUUAUGUGAAAAAUAAUUUGAAGGGUUAUAGAACCUUGGUUUCAAAUGGUUUUAAGCGAAAGACUUGGAAACGUCAAUGUGAUUUUUUAGAAUGGUUUUGACAAACCAAGUGCAUCUAGAGUAGGCUGACUGUCACUUCGGUUAAUUAUGAGCCUCAUGCAUGAGUGAGCUCUAGCUAGAGAACCUUUGGGUCACCGAUGAGUGGUUAGGCGUGGCGGGGGCUACAACCUGUGAUAUGUAUACGUUGCUAGGCCACAAGUGAUCCGGUAGAGUGAGACUCCCGGAUGUGCGUGGUAGCGACCGCUUGAUUCUCCGAUGUUGGCCAACAUCGUGGAGAUUGCCAUGGCUAUGGGAAUCUGGUGGAGUAAGACUCCCAGAUUGUUAUUACGUGGAAGUGGGUCCACAUGUUGAUAUUAUAUUUUUCUAUUCGAGAGACUUGUGAGUUUUUCGACGCAUACUCUUUUGCAUGGUGGAGGGUUCAGAUUUUCUCUGUAGCUCCUUUGGUUUAAAUAAAAGCUUUCCGUGCUUACUUGACAAUCAUAAGUUGGUUUAUGUGGCUAUACACUUUGAUUUCUUUACAUACUACACAUUUUGGGAAUGUGCAUGCCUUUAUACCGUAUUUCAUAUUUUGAUGGCAAAUGAUAUUUUCGGUAAUUGAAACUCUUGUGGUUACACUUAUUUUCGACAUUGUUUUGCCAAAGAAAGCAUUGUAUUAUGAUUUUACAAUAUUAUUUUUACAAGGCACAAAUACCCUUAUUGUGAUUUGGUUUAUAAGAUUAGCAUUUCAUACUCUGAUUUAUCAUUCAAUGAUCUACUUAUUGCUUGUUUCCCAUCUACUCCCUACUCACGGAGCCGAUGAUCACUGAGUUUGUGAGACUCACCCCCUCAUUUUCCCUUUUGCAAAUAGUGAUCGGCCUAGCGUGAAAUUAUCGACACUUAUGGUCCACCGCAGAUAGGUAAAGGCAUAUCGUAGCAUUUCAUUCCAAGUCACUCCGCUGCUAGAGGUCGAG
rnacentral:lncRNA from 1 species